UGAUGAGUCUCUGCGGAGCUCGCUGGGCUGUGACUGCGAAGUCGCGCUAGAGGGAGGAGGAGGAGGAGGAGGGGGGAGAGAGAGAGAGAGAGGAGGAGGAGGAGAGGAGAGGAGCUCCAGUCUGACACCGAUGCGGAUUGUCUCUGUCCGCCUGCCCGGCCCCGCGAGCUCACCGGCUGUGCCUCCUCUGCGGUGCGCGUGGACAGCGGCACGGGGCGCCUUGCACGUGCCUCUGGGAAACAACAGUCCUGCGUCCUGACGCGGCGCGGCUGUGACUCGGCGGGCACCGCUCGCGCCGUCCCGGCUCUUUGUGCGGGUCCCCCGUGUGUCGCCGGGGGCGGAGGCGGCAGCGGGGCGGCGGGGAGGACAUGAGGCAGCGCGCCGGGGGCUCCGGCCGCGGUGACUGCGGGUGGCGACGGGGCGGCGGCGGAGACCCGGCGGGCUGCGGCGAGAGCCUGUCUGAGCCCUGCUGGUGACGCAGACGGACUCCCAGGAAAGAGAGAGAGAGGCAGGAGGCAGGAGGCAGGAGGCUGCGCGCCGGACACACACAGCGCUGCUGCGGGUGAAGCCUCUCUCGCUUCCCGCUCUGCUGGGACUCGCAGGAUGGCCAGCGACGCUGUGCAGAGUGAUCCAGCGGGG